rnacentral:rRNA from 1 species
UACGUAGGGUGCAAGCGUUGUCCGGAAUUAUUGGGCGUAAAGAGCUCGUAGGCGGUUUGUCGCGUCGAAUGUGAAAACCCGGGGCUCAACCCCGGGCCUGCAUUCGAUACGGGCAGACUAGAGUUCGGUAGGGGAGUCUGGAAUUCCUGGUGUAGCGGUGAAAUGCGUAGAUAUCUGGAGGAACACCGGUGGCGAAGGCGGCAUCCUGGACCGGCAUUGACGCUGAGGCGCGAAAGCCAGGGGAGCAAACGGG